rnacentral:lncRNA from 1 species
AAAAGGGUUAGGGGUGUGAAAUAGUUUCGGAACCAGUUCAUUCUGUGAUUUGCUUUCGAUUAUAGGUCAAAAUUGUCAAAUUUGCCCAAAAAAUCACACGCCCAAGCCACCAACGCCAUGUCACAACACCUAGAAAAUCAAAGCCGGCCAGACUCGAAUAAGCCGAGACGACGAAGAAAACAUCCGACGUGCAACUCGACGCCUGACGAAGCGCCCAACAGCUUCACAUGACAAGCAACUCGGCGUCCAACGAAGUACUGGCCAACCGCUUCUCACCUGAAUCAUCGAGUUCAGUAAAUACUACUCCCUCCGUCCCAAAAUGUAAGACGCUUUUUGAUACUAUCACAGUCUCAAAAAACAUCUUACAUUUCGGGACGGAGGGAGUGCUUAGUAAACAAGAUUAUUUGGGAUAAAAUUCAUAUGUACUUUAUUAACUGAUAACUAUUUUUUCAUUCGUUUGAAGGCAAAAUAUUAUGGUUUGGAAAGAGGAUAACUGUACAUAUUUUUUACAGGCAGAAGAAGGCACAAAACUUAGAAGACUCAAAUUCCAAACUCCUACCGUUUGAGCAGCAGAUUUUGAUUAUAUGGCCAACCUAUUUAAGUACAUCCAUAAGGGCGACGACCAAGUAACAGCCUUGCUAAAGGAAAGGGAUGUGGAAAACGACAAUAACAAAUCAAGAAAUGCCUAGAGAUGAGAUACGUAACAACAAUCCACGCAUGCUAGCGGAUAUUCCAGUUUGAACUACACUAUCGUGAUCCACCAGUCAGGAGGCUGCCAUUCUACCUUGAAAGCAAGGAGCAAGUUGUGUUUCCAUACUCGACUGAUAUUGAGAGGAUAGUAAGAAAUCCAAGAUCAAAAAGUAGUUCUGAUGGAGGCAAAUAAAAUACACGAGCUAGGAAAAGAAUUAACCUAUGCAGAAUUCCCAUCAAAAUUUGCAUGGAAAAGCGAAACAAAUAGUUGGGAGAAGCGAUAAAGGAGCUUAUAUGAUUGGAAGAAUAUACCAUGCACACCCCGCCAGGGGUGAGUGAUACUACCUAAGAGCGCUUCUAAACACAGUGAAACGAUCCACGCCAUUUGAUGAUGUUAGAACAGUUCGCGGAUUUGUUCACUCAACAUAUAAAUCAACACACAAGCGCUCGGAGUUCUUAAUGGCGAUAAUGAGUGGAUUGAAUGCAUCAACAAAGCAUCCAGCUAAGAAUCAGGGACAUAAUUGUGUCAUCUAUUCACUACAAUAUAUGCGAUUGCGAGGUGGCCAGCCCAAAGAUGUUGUGGGAUUCAACAUGGGAGGCAACGUCCGAAGAUAACCACUACAAGGGAAGAAUUCUCCUAAACAAAAGAAGGCAUAUGCUCCGAUCGAGAUAGAAAAACUAACGAGGCAGGCAGGAAAGUCAUUAAAAGAAUAUCUAGAGAUAGAAGUACCAAAUGUUACAACAAAGCAAUUAGAACAAAGUUACGAUCACAAGGAAAAGGAGUGCUUGCAGUAGCAUCAUGUGGGAUUGCAGCGUUGCUGCUCCAAGGUGGAAGAACAGCACACUUAAGAUUACACACUCCACUAAAUAUGACAGAAGAAUCAAACUUGGGAAAUAAAAGAAGGCUCACAUUUGGCUGAACUGAUAAAGAAGACCUCACUAAUGUUGUGGGAUGAAGCUCAUAUGGCAAAGAAACACUGCUUCAUGACACUAAACAAAAGCCUUGGGGAUAUUCUAAGGUUCACAACCGAAAACAGCGACGAAAAGCCAUUUGGUGGCAUGACAGUUGUGCUAGGAGGCGACUUCAGACAAAUCGUCCCCAUUUUAACAAAGGGAAAGAUAUAGCAGAGAGUAAGGUCAUACCUAUGGAAUCACGUCAAAAUAUUUAGCCUAACUGAGCACAUGCGGCUGAAGUAUCUAUAAGAAGAUCAAAUACAUACGGAAAACAUGGCCGAAUUUGCAGAAUGGAUGUUACAAACUGGCGAUGGAAAGGCAACAUCGAAUGAAGGAGAUGAUUGGAUAUAAGGCUGAAUACCCCAAAAGAGAUCGGCAAAAGCACAUACCCAUAGUUGCUACAAAACUAGCGUGAUCGCGAUUUUUUUGAAGAAACAACAAUGUCGUGUCAACGAAAUGAAACUGUCAAAAACAUAAAUGACUACAUAAUGAGCCAAAUAUAAGGUGAAGAUGUGACAUACCUAAGCCUGGACACUUAUGCGAGGCAACAACAAACUACAACAUCAUGGAGAACAUGUGUCCAAUGGAGUUCCUUAACAGCAUGACAUUCUCAGGAAUUCUAAACCAGACAAAUUCAAGGUUGUUUUAGGAGUGAUGCUUCGACACAACAUCAAUCAGUCGGCAAGUUUCUGCAAUGGUACAAGAAUAACUAUCACAAAGCUGGAAAACAAGUACACUGAGGCACGGAUAAUUACAGGAACACACACGUAGACGACAAGGUAUGGAUAUCUAAAAUCAUCAUGUCACCAAGCGAAACGAAGUGACCGUUUGUGCUGAAAAUAAGACACUAUUAGUAAGCUUGCCAUGACCAUAAAUAAGAGCCAAGGUCAGUCCCUCAAUAAGGUGAGCGCAGGACUAUAUUUGGCCUAAGUAAGUAUUCUAUCAUGGACAACUGACCGUGGCGUUAUCAGGAGUCACAAAAUAGAGAAGGGUUUAAGAUGUUGAUUAACGACAACAUGCCCAAGCGAAGAUAACACAAAGAAUAUAUUCCCAUUCAACGAGUAGUAUACAACGAGACCUUAUAUUUUUAUUUAUUUUUGUUAUUCAAGUAAAUGCACAUGAACGCCAGAUCGUGGUUUUGUAAACUGGAAAUAAGAAAAGAAAAUAUUAAUUGGAUGGAAUGUCACAAUAGAAUUUUUCACAAAUGCAAAUAGUAGUACUAUCAACUAGAAAAAAAUUGGUGUCAUGCGGAGUAUAACAUUUGCUGUAUAAAGUUCCAUAUAAUUGCUAAGUGCUAAAGAGGACAAUAAUUAAAGGACAGUACAAUCCCGAAAGAAAAAAUGUAAGUUGAACCCUAUAAAAUAAAUAGUAUGCAAUAGAGAUCAAUGGCAGGUCGUAUAGCUAUAUAGAUUCAAACAUCCUACUAAUAGUCCAUACGUGAAUACCAACAGUAUGUAUGUACAUCUGCUAAGUAGAAAUUGUAACUGCGUAAUUUAUAAUAUAUCACCAUAUCUCUGGAAUUACUUUAACAGGCAUACUAAAUAACUGAAAUUAUGAAGUACAUAUGCUGCCAAGCAAAAGGAGAAAUGGGAGUUUACAAAGAGAUUCAUACCUAUUGCUCUUCUCAGCCUAUGACGAACAACUGGCCAUUCAGCACAACGCCAAAGCUCUCUGCCCCGGCGCCUGUGGCCUCUCGGCGACCGCCCUCUGUCUUUCCAGCAGCGACAGCGAGAUGCGGCCUCGCUGGUGGCCGGUGCCACAACCGCGGCUCCAACACAGGUCCCCGACUCGGCCAGACAUGGACUCGAAGAGAACACCCUUACAAGCUUUCCUCAUGCACGAGCAGCCCUCUGAUUUGGCAUAGCCAGCUUGGAAGACCAGGCUGCACGAUUCUUCCGGGAAAUCUGCAACGCCUCCAUCACACCAGGAACCUCCGGCGCCGCCGUCGGACAUCCCGCGUUCUCCGUUGCUCCACCUUGCCCACCCCGUGGCCACGCAUGGCUUGGAAGACCAGCACCAUAGAAAACCAAAAGGGGAUCUGUUCUAUCUUUCUAGAAGCAGAGACAAGAGAUGGAUACCACGUUAAGCACUACAAAGAUAUUUGUUCUCAGCAUUUUCUCUUCUUUUUCUUUUUGAUGGUUUUCUUACAACAUUGGGAAUAAGUAGAGUGUACAGAACUUUUUUGCACUUAAGAGCUAC